rnacentral:rRNA from 1 species
AGCGAACGCUGGCGGCAGGCCUAAUACAUGCAAGUCGAGCGCACCUUCGGGUGAGCGGCGGGCGGGGGAGUAACGCGUGGGAACGUGCCCUUUGGUACGGGAUAACUGAGGGAAACUUCAGCUAAUACCGUAUGUGCCCUACGGGGGAAAGAUUUAUGGCCAUUGGAGCGGCCCGCGUUGGAUUAGGUAGUUGGUGAGGUAAAGGCUCACCAAGCCUACGAUCCAUAGCUGGUCUGAGAGGAUGAUCAGCCACACUGGGACUGAGACACGGCCCAGACUCCUACGGGAGGCAGCAGUAGGGAAUCUUGCGCAAUGGGCGAAAGCCUGACGCAGCCAUGCCGCGUGAAUGAUGAAGGUCUUAGGAUUGUAAAAUUCUUUCACCGGGGAAGAUAAUGACGGUACCCGGAGAAGAAGCCCCGGCUAACUUCGUGCCAGCCGCCGCGGUAAGAC